rnacentral:rRNA from 1 species
GGGAAUGGAAAGACCGGUACAAGCGGGGGAGGAGUACAAUAGGCAAAUCCGUUGUAUGAUCCGAAGACGUGAUGUGGAGCGAAAUAAAGUAGUGAAGCGUGUGAGCCAUGUGCCGAGAAAAGCUGCUAUUGUGUAAUGCGUGCCCGUACCGUAAACCGACACAGGUGGAUGAGGAGAGAAUCCUAAGGCCGACGGUAGAAGCAUUGUUAAGGAAUUCGGCAAAAUGACCCCGUAACUUCGGGAGAAGGGGUGCCUGCGAGAGCAGGCCGCAGAGAAUAGGCUCAAGCAACUGUUUAGCAAAAACACAGGUCUAUGCGAAACCGAAAGGUGAAGUAUACGGGCUGACGCCUGCCCGGUGCUGGAAGGUUAAGAGGAGAGGUUAGCGAAAGCGAAGCUUUGAAUUUAAGCCCCAGUAAACGGCGGCCGUAACUAUAACGGUCCUAAGGUAGCGAAAUACCCUGUCGGGUAAGUUCCGACCCGCACGAAAGGCGUAAUGAUUUGAGCACUGUCUCGACAAUGCAUCCGGUGAAAUUGAAGUACCAGUGAAGAUGCUGGUUACCCGCGCCAGGACGGAAAGACCCCAUGGAGCUUUACUCCAGUUUGAUACUGGGAUUCGGUACUGCAUGUACAGGAUAGGUGGGAGACGAAGAAGGAUGGACGCCAGUCUGUCCGGAGUCGCUGUUGGGAUACCACCCCUGUAGUACUGGGUUUCUAACCAGUUACCAUGAUCUGGUAAUGGGACAAUGUCAGGCGGGGAGUUUGACUGGGGCGGUCGCCUCCGAAAGGGUAUCGGAGGCGCUCAAAGGUUCCCUCAGAAUGGUUGGAAACCAUUUGAAGAGUGCAAAGGCAGAAGGGAGCUUGACUGCGACACCGACGGGUGGAGCAGGUACGAAAGUAGGACUUAGUGAUCCGGUGGUAUAAAGUGGGAUUGCCAUCGCUCAACGGAUAAAAGCUACCCUGGGAUAACAGGCUUAUCACUCCCAAGAGUUCACAUCGACGGAGUGGUUUGGCACCUCGAUGUCGGCUCAUCGCAUCCUGGGGCUGUAGCAGGUCCCAAGGGUUGGGCUGUUCGCCCAUUAAAGCGGUACGCGAGCUGGGUUCAGAACGUCGUGAGACAGUUCGGUCCCUAUCCGGCGCGGGCGGAGGAUAUUUGAGAGGAGCUGUCCUUAGUACGAGAGGACCGGGAUGGACGGACCACUGGUGUAUCUGUUGUCGACCAACGGCAUGGCAGAGUAGCCAAGUCUGGAAGGGAUAAACGCUGAAGGCAUCUAAGCGUGAAGCCCCCCUCAAGAUGAGAUAUCCCUCCUUCGGGAGUAAGACCCCUUGAAGACUACAAGGUAGAUAGGGCAGAGGUGGAAGCAAGGCAACAUGUGGAGCUGACUGUUACUAAUAGGUCGAGGGCUUAAUU